UAAUGAUGACUUAAAGGUAGGCAGACAAUGUAAUAGAGCAGCAGGAAAUGCUAGCAGAAUGCUUGGUUGUAUAGGGAGAGGUAUUAGCAGUAGAAAGAGGGUGCUCAUGCCAUUGUACAGAACACUGGUGAGGCCUCACUUGGAGUAUUGUACGCAGUACUGGAGACCGUAUCUUCAGAAGGAUAUUGAUACCUUAGGGAGAGUUCAGAGAAGGGCUACUAAACUGGUUCAUGGAUUGCGGGAUAAAACUUACC